GUCAAUUUAUCAUCAAGGCUCCUUGCAGUAAUGUCAAAUUGACAUCAUUGUGACAUUAUCGAUAUGUCGAUCUAUAGCUAGCUAGAUUAUCGAUAUCGAGAGUCAUUCUCGAGUCGGCCAGAAGACAGAAGAGAGCGGAUUUAUAUCUUACGCCCGCGUUUUCGUUAGUACUAAUUACGUAGUGUGGAAAUUCAACGUGGUUGUGUCUGUAUGGAAGCUGCCGGAAUGGAAAUUACUUCAUUAAAGUUGAAAUACUUGUUACGGAAGGCAAAGGGACACACAAGUUCUGUCUUCACUUAUUCUGUUUUGUCGACUUUACUUAGAAAUAAUCUGGCACGACUUUUUGGUUUUUGUGAGUUCCAUAAAACCUUGUAUGUUGCAAACUUGCUGCGAUUCUUAUGCAUUUUAUUUGUCUUUUAUUUCUUAGUUUUCGUUUAGUAAACUUUAUUUCUUGGUGUGCCUUUGAGGCUUUUAUUUUUGUUCUGCUUCCAAUUAAAAUAUAAAGCAUAAUCUACUACCAUUCUUCAUUUUGUAAAGUACCAUGUUUGUUGGUGUUUUAAAAAAGUUUCUUCAUUUUAGCAUGUAAAAUUAAAAGAAAUGUUUUAAACUUACAAGGUUUUUCAUGUGCUUGAUGCAUAUAAGUUUACUUAUUAUUAUUAUUAUUA